rnacentral:lncRNA from 1 species
CGGCUGUUGAGCUCCUUCUGUGUUCCAGUGGAACAUCUGUGUUUUACUGUGCAAAUGAGAAUGGCCAGGAUGUUACAUACAGCUGGACUGUCAGUAACAGCAUCCUGGGAGAACGGACUGUAUUCAGUAACAGUUGUAAAUAUAUAUCUUUGAAGAACAUGUCUGGAACUGUCCGCUGCUCUGUGGAGAAGAAGGGCUGCAGUGCACAGAGUGAACCUCAGAACUUUGACUGCACAGAACACCCAUAUGAGACAAGACAGCCCUGGGGUGUCAUUGUUCUGAUCGUUGUCUGCACACUGCUACUUUGUCUGACCAUGGCUGCACUUCUGAGCUGUAUCCGAAGAAGCUACAAAAAACGUCUCCUGAAUGAGAAUUCUGCACAAUCCAAUUCCUCACCGGAGGCCACCAAUCACGAGCUAUUUUUUUAUAGUGAAGUCAGACUCUCACGAUGACGCCUGUGAGCGUUUAAUUGGGCAAAAUACAUGUUUGCCUGAAAAAAAUGAUUCACAUGUUUUAUGAUUUUAUUGAGAAAAAGAUUAUUAAUUUUUAGAAUGACAUGUAUUUGUGAUUCUGUGUAUAUAUUCCUCAUUUCAGAAGAGAUCCUUUAGCUUAACACAAAAUCAUAAACUAAGUACGAGGGAACUACAGACACACACACAUUUUCAGAACCGCUUGUCCCAUACGGGGUCACGGGGAACCAGAGCCUACCUGGUAACACAGGGCGUAAGGCCGGAGGGGGAGGAGACACACCCAGGACGGGACGCCAGUCCAUCGCAAGGCAUCCCAAGCGUGAUUCGAACCCCAGACCCACCGGAGAGGAGGACUGUGGUCCAACCCACUGUGCCACUGCGCCAC